GGGCAAAUGGCUACUAUCUUUCGUGUAUGCUAUCUUUCUUUUUACGGUUUAUUUCUUUUUGGCAUAUAUUUUUAUAUAAUGUUUGGAAUAAACACUGUUAAAAAAUGAAAGAAUUUUUAAACAUUAUCUGGUCUAAUUCUUGGAUGGCCUAAGAAACCUGUGCCAAUAAAAUAAAAUUAAAAAAAAAAUGCUGGUUUGGAGCAUGUGGAAGAUAGAUAUCUUAUCUUGCCAUUUUUAGUACCUUAGAAAUUUUUGAGAAACUAUUAUGUAGUGGCUUGUUAAUGGCAAUUUUAAUUCUUUGGUUUUAUUCAUCAUCAGUCUGUUAGUCGCAAUAUCAGUUCU
rnacentral:misc_RNA from 1 species